rnacentral:lncRNA from 1 species
CUUGAAGAGUUCAACCUGAAGAUGAAGCGGAAAUCGACGCAACAAACACCAACAUAAACUCAAAGGCAGUUUGUUAUCUUCACUUGGCAUCAUGAGCUCAUCUCCCACUAGAAUAGAACCUGCUGCUGACCCAUCCAGACCCUAUGGACAUUAGUUGGCUUACAUUGUUACCCAUCAUUCAUUUAUUGAUUUGUAAUGAUGCUAACAAAGGAUUUGUUAUCUUUGAGCCACAUCCUUUAAGGCAACAUAUUGAAGAAUCUUUUUCAGUGUAUAUUCAGAUUGGAUUUAUAUGUAGUAGCAUGGGUACGGACGGUCAGGGGCUUUUCUUGAAAACGUGAUCUGACUUGCAAAAAUGAUUUCCUAUAUAGGCUUUUAGCUUUAAUUAGGGCCUGGAGAUUUUCCUAGGCUGGUCAUUUGUUCAGGAAAAACUCUUAACCCAUUUCUGUGGAUCCUCUUUCACUGUGUAUAUAUACAAAUAAAGAGUUAUUUUAUUUAUUUAUUUUUCUCAAAAAGUAACUUCAAAAUGGAAGUCAUGCUGAUGAUCUAAACUAUGCUCCACACUCCGUCCUGUUGGUGGCAGUAUUGGAAUUAGAAUCAUAACAAGGUGGGACGAAAUCUUCAGAAGCAGGUACAGCAGAAAAAUAAAAUAGUCUUUGUCCUUUGCUAGCUAGAUCGUUGCUUUUGUACUAGCUAAUAUAUGCAUUUUUUAUGCAAUUGCGUGGAACUUGUUUAACGCCUCAAAAUCUAAAAUGACAUGGCGAACAUAAUGAGAUGGUACCCUCUUUAAGGCCUAAGACGAGCGCGGGUGAGGUUGCAGACGAGUGAACCUGAAGAGUCAUCCCAGCUCAGACACGCUGGAAGAUAACAUGCCAAAUGGAACCAGAGAGUUACAGUCUGGUGCUUCCUCUGCUAUGAGCUACAUUAUGGAUCCAUCUGCCAGAGACUGGAGCAAAGGCUCAUUGAGGGGUAGCAGUGCUCCCUUCUCCCCAGACACAGAUGGGGACGUUGAUGGAGACCCUGUGCAGCCCAGUGUGGACCUGGAACUCGCUCGUAAGAAGAAGGAGCUGGAGGUCAUACAGGAGAAGAUAGCUCGCAAGAAAGCUGUUCUUGCUACACGACAGCUUAAACACGGAGCUAAGGACAUGCCUAAAAAACAGACUGCAUCCACAACAGUGAAGGGCAUCGCUAAACAGACCAAGAUAAACAAUACAAUAUUCAAAACAUACAACCAGGUCACCGACAAGUCGUCACGCGUAUGCCUACCUCUUAAACGGAGGGUGCUGGACAUUCUACGUAAGUUCAGAAGAACACCGGUACGGCACCUACUUCGUAAGACGAAGAAACAAAACAAGAUGCGAGCAUUGGAGCUGAUGAUUAGCGCUCCCCUAGAAAAUGAAGAGGCCCAUCCUCUGAGACUGAGAGUGAAGGUUUUAAUGAACCAGCGACGCUCUCCCAACAAUGAGGUGGUUCCUGAUGAUAAACAGCAUAAUCCAACCAUUCAGACGCCAGUUCACUCACUCAGGACACAGGAGAAAGACAUAGCAGCCACAGGCUUCCAGCGCUUCCUCAAUGUCCUCAAUGAAGGUGUGGACCUCAACAAGCUCUCAAAGAUCGUCAACGAUGAAAAUGAGAUACUCGUUGUGGGCGAGGAGCUACCACAAGUGUGGCCGACUCUGCUCGAGGGUCAUGUUGACUCCAGCAGUAGAUCCAAGUCUUCUCCAGUUGAGGAGAAGAAGGUGAGGCUUGAGGAUGAGCAGCGGUACGAGCAGAUGCAGACCCUGCUGGAGAUCGUUGGGCUGGACUUGGGGGUUGAGGAGUUGGGUCGGCUGACAGACAGGACCAAUGAUAGGCUGUAUGGGAAGAUGGGAGACUUGAAAAGGAAGGAGUUUGAGAAUGAGAAGGGAAAAGAGAAAAAGGAGAGCGAGCCCUCAUUUAAACAUCUUAGUACUUCCUCAUUACCAUCAGACAGCGCCAGCCCCCUUCUAAACCAGCACUCAAACAUGACCGUUGAAUACAGCAGCUCUAGUAACAGGGUAUGGGACAUAGAGAGGGACAGAUCUGAGAGGGACAGAUCUGAGAGGGACUGGCACCGACACUCUGGUACCAGAGAGAAGGACAGAGAGAGGGAGGAGGAUAUAGUCAGAGAAAUGGAGAGAUCUGAGAGAGAUGGGCACAGAGAGGACAGAGCCAGAGAAGGGGACAGUCCUACCAGAGAGAGAUCCAGGCAAAGAUGCUCUAGUACCAGAGACAAGGACAGAGUCAGAGAAAGGGACAGAUCUGAGAGAAACCGAAAGGGAGAUGGACACAGACACUCUAGUACCAGAGAGGGAGACAAGGACAUACCGAUAGUCAGAGAAACAAACAGAUCAGAAAGGAACAGAGAUAAAGACGGGGACAGAGACCCAGAGAAGGACUGGGACGGAGGCCGAGAGAGAGACCGGGACAGAUCUAGGAGAGACGGGGGCAGAUACAGAUCUGAGAGAGACGGGGACAGAGACCCAGAGAAAGGCAGGGACGGAGUCAGAGAGAAAGACCGGGACAGAGUGAGAGACCGGGACAAAUACAGAUCUGAGAGAGACAGAAACCGAGCGAUAGACAAGGAUAUAGAAAGGUGGCUGCAAAGGACCAAAGACGGAGACAAACGUUCUAGGACCAGUGACUGGGACAGCGAGAGCGACUGGAACAGCCACUGUAGUACUAGAGACUGGGACAGAGAGAGAUCUGAGAGGGAUAGGUAUGGGGAUGAGUCCAGGGAAAGCUCCAUUGAGCUCUACUCAUACUCCAUGGACCCUAUAUUCCCUGUUUCUCAUCCUCAUGCAUUUAUGAUGGCAAACUACUCCCCCACCCAGUACUCUCAGUAUAUGACGUACCACAGCAGCCCCUACACCAUGGCCUUCCCUCCAGGGUGGGGUUAUCCCCCUGGCACCAUGCCCCCUGGCACCAUGCCCCCUGGUAUUAUGCCCCCUGGUAUUAUGCCCCCUGGUAUUAUGCCCCCUGGUAACAUGCCGCCUAGUAACAUGCCGCCUGGUACCAUACUUCCUGGUGUUAUGCUCCCUGUUACCAUGCCACCUGGAAUCAUGCCAGCUGGUGCCAUGCUGCCUAUUAACAAGCCCCGCCUACCUAACCCCCCUGGGUAUCCACCCUACACCAACUUCCCCCCAUAUUACUCUAAUGGCACCACAGCCUUAAACCAGACAUACACCAAGCCUGCUAGCAACCUCCAGCUCUCAUCUACCCAGCCUGCUAGCAACCUCCAGCUCUCAUCUACCCAGCCUGCUAGCAACCUCCAGCUCUCAUCUACCCAGCCUGCUAGCAACCUCCAGCUCUCAUCUACCAAGCCUGCUAGCAACCUCCAGCUCUCAUCUACCCAGCCUGCUAGCAACCUCCAGCUCUCAUCUACCCAACCUACUAGCAACCUCCAGCUCACAUCUACCCAGCCUGCCACUAGCAACCUCCAGCUCACAUCUACCCAGCCUGCCGGCACUGCAGCAGUCUUGCCCCUCCUCCGUAACCCCCCCAUUUGUCACAAGAAACUAGCUCCCUGGUAUAAAGAAAAUAACAAAGCCCUGAAGCAAGUUUGCCGACAAAUGGAACGGAAAUGGCGCUCCACCAAUUUGGAAGUCUUCCGACUAGCUUGGAAAGACAGUAAAGCGCAAUAUCGAAAAGCCCUCAAUGCCGCUCGAUUAGCCUACUUUUCCAAACAGAUUGAGGAGAAUAAAAACAAUCCAAAAUGUAUUUUUGAUACUGUUGACAAGCUAACUAAAAAGCAGCAUUCUCCAAGUGAGGAGGGCCUUCACUUCACCUAAGCAGUUACAUCCUGCCUGGUUGGCCCUGUCUGGGGUAUCUUUGGACUGGGCCACAUUGUCUAAGCACUGGGUUCUGUCUAAGCCCUUUGUGACAUUUACUGAUGAAAAAGGGCUUUAUAAAUAAAUAAAUUUGAUUGGUUGGUCUUAACUCAGAUAUACACAUACACCCAGCCCUCUAGCAACUGCAAGGAAAAGAGACAGAAGCAUGCAGAAGCCGUAGCGAAAGUGAAAAGAAUAAACAUGGAAGAGACAGAAAUAUGCAGAAGAUGUAGUGAAAGUAUCCUGUCAGAUGGUGACAAAGAAGUCCCCCUCUGAACCAGGGUGAAUGAAGAAAGCAAAGGGGGUAAACUAUAUAUUCUUCCCAGGUAUUUUCAUGAAGAGUUAUCACAAUCAUCAAAGGAAGCGUAUGUGUAAGAGGAAACGGCUUUUGAAGAGGCGGAAUGAGGCUCACCAGCACAAAAUAAAGUGAUUGCUUGCAGAAGCAGCAGGGAAAGUGGCUCCUCGGGUGGCUGUAAAGGAUUUCCCCUUUGGAGAGGAGCCCAAGAUCCAGAAGGAGUAACAAUGAUCGAUGGGGAGAAACUACAUGCUGACACUGUAGAAGAAGUGGUCCCUAAGAAGCUAGAUUUGUAAUGACACUAGCAAAGGAUUUGUUAUAGUUUAACCUCAUCCUUCAAAGCUUCAUGUUGAAGCUAUUUUCAGUGUAAUGUUUUGUAUUGUAUGUGGUAUGGGUAGGGCCAGUGGUCUUUCUUUACUAUUAUAUCUGCUCAGCAAACGCAUUUUCUCUCCUGUUAUAAACCAAAUCAUAAGGGUGUAGAGUUUACUUGAUCUGGUCAUGUGGUUAGGAAAGACCCCUGGCCCUGGGCAUAGUACAUGUGUGUCAAUGCAAUGAAAAGACCAUUGAUAACAUGCUUGCAAGUUCUCAUGCCUGAUAGCAAGAAAACUGCCCGUGUUUCAUUCCCCCACUUCAGUCUAUAGAUCAUCUUUUACUUUGUAUAUAUUUAAUUGAAUAAAAUAUUCUGUCUAAUAUUGUAAGUGUGGAGUAUGUCAAAGUAAUUUAACCAAGGCAUUAAGCUUCUCAUUUCUUUUCAGGCAUAACUUUCAUUGGUUUGGAAUUAGAAAAUGCCAUGUUCUUCGCACUCCGUUCUAUUGGUGGCAGUAUAGAUCCUAUGAAGCAGAAAUCAUAGAACAAUAGACGAUGUAGACAGGAAACGAGUUUGUUGGUUGACCAGUUGCCUUUAUAACAAAUUUAACCUAAUCUAUACAAUUUAUAUGAAAGUCAAAGCACUCCGAUUUUUAAGAGAGACUGGUAUGCUAGUUGUUUGACACCACAAGAUCCAGAAUGAGACGGUGAACAAAGACCUGCGCGAGGGUAGCAUCGAGGUAAACAACCAUUAGCUAUAGUCAAUGUUUGCAACCACUUAUUGUGGAAAAUGUGCAAUGUGGCAAUUUCAUGAAUUUGUCGAUAUUCUCACAUGCUUGCAUUUACAGACGUUAGCUAGCAAGGUAUAUGCCAGCCUGCUCUGAAAAUUACAUUACAAACUAGCUAGGAAGUUAACAUUUGCUAACGUUAGCUGGCUUACGCUUGCACAUUUCAGCUGACAUUCAGAACAAUAAUGUACAAGCAAGCGAAGUUAUCAUAGAAGACAAAUGCAACUACAUACAGUUGAAGUCGGAAGUUAACAUACGCCUUAGCCAAAUACAUUUAAACUGUUUUUCUGAAUUCCUGACAUUUAAGCCUCGUAAAAAAAAAAACGUUUUAUGUCAGUUAGGAUCACCACUAUUUUAAGAAUGUGAAAUGUCAGAAUAAUAGUAGCGAGAAUGAUUUAUUUCAGCUUUUAUUUAUUUCAUCACAUUCCCAGUGGGUCAGAAGUUUACUUAUUACAAUUAGUAUUUGGUAGCAUUGCCUUAAUUGUUUAACUUGGGUCAAAUGUUUCAGGUAGCCUUCCACAAGCUUCCCCCAAUAAGUUGGGUGAAUUUUAGCCCAAUCCUCCUGACAGAGCUGGUGUAACUGAGUCAGGUUUGUAGGCCUCCUGUAGGCCUCCUUGCUUGCGCACGCUUUUUCAGUUCUGCCCACAAAUGGUCUAUAGGAUUGAGAUCAGAGCUUUGUGGUGGCCACUCCAAUACCUUGACUUUGUUGUCCAUAAGCCAUUUUGCCACAGCUUUGGAAGUAUGCUUGGGGUCAUUGUCCAUUUGGAAAACCUAUUUGCGACCAAGCUAACUUCCUGACUGAUGUCUGGAGAUGGUGCUUCAAUAUAUCCACAUAAUUUUCUUCCUCGUGAUGCAAUCUAUUUUGUGAAGUGUACCACGCCCUCCUGCAGCAAAGCACCCUCACAACAUGAUGCUGCCACCCCCGUGCUUCACAGUUGGGAUGAUGUUCUUUGGCUUGCAAGCCUCCCCCUUUUUCCUCCAAACAGAUUGAUGGUGAUUAUGGCCAAACAGUUCUAUUUGUUUCAUCAGAUCAGAGGACAUCUCCAAAAAGUACUUUCUUUGUCCCCAUGUGCAGUUGCAAAACGUAGUCUGGCGGUUUUGGAGCAGUGGCUUCUUCCUUGCUGAGCGGCCUUUCAGGUUAUGUCGAUAUAGGACUUGUUUUACUGUGGAUAUAGAUACUUUUGUACCUGUUUUCUCCAGCAUCUUCACAAGGUCCUUUGCUGCUGUUCUGGGAUUGAUUUGCACUUUUCGCACCAAAGUACGUUCAUCUCUAGGAGACAGGACGUGUCUCAUUCCUGAGCAGUAUGACGGCUGAGUGGUCCCUUGGUGUUUAUACUUGCGUACUAUUGUUUGUACAGAUGAACAUGGUGCCUUCAGGCGUUUGGAAAUUGCUCCCAAGGAUGAACCAGACUUGUGGAGGCCUACGAUUUUUUUUCUGAGGUCUUGGCUGUUUUCUUUUGAUUUUCCCAUGAUGUCAAGCAGAGGCACUGAGUUUGAAGGUAGGCCUUGAAAUACAUCCACAGGUACACCUCUAAUUUUCUCAAAUUAUGUCUAAUUGACGCAAAAAUUGUCAAUUAGCCUAUCAGAUGCUUCUAAAGCCAUGACAUAAUUUUCUGGAAUUUUCCAAGCUGUUUAAAGGCACAGUCAAUUUAGUGUAAGUAAACUUCUGACCCAAUAGAAUUGUGAUACAGUGAAAUAAUCGGUUUGUAAACAAUUGUUGGAAAAAUUACUUGUCAUGCACAAAGUCGAUGUCCUAACCGACUUGCCAAAACUAUAGUUUAUUAACAAGAAAUUUGUGGAGUGGAUGAAAAACGAGUUUUAAUGACUCCAACCUAAGUGUAAGUAAAUUUCCGACUUCAACUGUAAAUAUUGGAACGUAAUUUGUUUGUUUAGAAGCCUGUUAAUUUGUUUGAGUCCUUAGUGAUGUCUUGCCUUGAACGUGCAUUUAUGGGCAACUAACAUCUAAUUCAUCCAUAAUCAACAGCAAACAUGUUUAUAUUCAUCACAUACUUAACGUUAGUGUUUAUAUAGUUGUCACCCAGACACACAGUACAGUUCAC